GAGGUAACGGCUCACCAAGGCAUCGACGGGUAGCUGGUCUGAGAGGAUGAUCAGCCACACUGGGACUGAGACACGGCCCAGACUCCUACGGGAGGCAGCAGUAGGGAAUCUUGCGCAAUGGGCGAAAGCCUGACGCAGCAACGCCGCGUGGGGGAUGACGGCCUUCGGGUUGUAAACCCCUUUCAGCAGGGACGAAAAUGACGGUACCUGCAGAAGAAGCUCCGGCCAACUACGUGCCAGCAGCCGCGGUAAUACGUAGGGAGCAAGCGUUGUCCGGAAUUAUUGGGCGUAAAGGGCUCGUAGGCGGUUCGGUAAGUCGGGUGUGAAAAUCCAGGGCUCAACCCUGGGACGCCACCCGAUACUGCUGUGACUAGAGUCCGGUAGAGGAGCGUGGAAUUCCUGGUGUAGCGGUGAAAUGCGCAGAUAUCAGGAGGAACACCAGCGGCGAAGGCGGCGCUCUGGGCCGGUACUGACGCUGAGGAGCGAAAGCAUGGGGAGCAAACAGGAUUAGAUACCCUGGUAGUCCAUGCCGUAAACGUUGGGCACUAG
rnacentral:rRNA from 1 species